rnacentral:rRNA from 1 species
UACGAAGGGGGCUAGCGUUGCUCGGAAUCACUGGGCGUAAAGGGUGCGUAGGUGGCGCCGUAAGUGGGGUGUGAAAUUUCGGAGCUUAACUCCGAAACUGCAUUCCAUACUGCGGUGCUUGAGGACUGGAGAGGAGACUGGAAUUCAUGGUGUAGCAGUGAAAUGCGUAGAUAUCGUAAGGAAGACCAGUGGCGAAGGCGGGUCUCUGGACAGUUCCUGACGCUGAGGCACGAAGGUCAGGGGAGCAAACGGG